rnacentral:rRNA from 1 species
CCUACGGGUGGCAGCAAUUAGGAAUCUUGCGCAAUGGGCGAAAGCCUGACGCAGCGACGCCGCGUGACUGAUGAAGUCUUUCGGGAUGUAAAGGUCUUUUUUGGGGGAAGAAGGAUGUGACGGUACCCCAAGAAUAAGCCCCGGCUAACUACGUGCCAGCAGCCGCGGUAAUACGUAGGGGGCGAGCGUUGUCCGAAUUCACUGGGCGUAAAGCGCGCGUAGGCGGAUUUUUAAGUUGGGGGUGAAAUGCCGAGGCUCAACCUCGGAACUGCCUUCAAAACUGGGAGUCUUGAGGUAUGGAGAGGGAAGUGGAAUUCCAGGUGUAGCGGUGAAAUGCGUAGAUAUCUGGAGGAACACCCGUGGCGAAGGCGGCUUCCUGGCCAUAUCCUGACGCUGAGGUGCGAAAGCUAGGGGAGCGAACG